rnacentral:rRNA from 1 species
GAUGAACGCUGGCGGCGUGCCUAAUACAUGCAAGUCGAGCGAACAGACGAGGAGCUUGCCCUCUGACGUUAGCGGCGGACGGGUGAGUAACACGUGGAUAACCUACCUAUAAGACUGGGAUAACUUCGGGAAACCGGAGCUAAUACCGGAUAAUAUAUUGAACCGCAUGGUUCAAUAGUGAAAGACGGUUUUGCUGUCACUUAUAGAUGGAUCCGCGCCGCAUUAGCUAGUUGGUAAGGUAACGGCUUACCAAGGCAACGAUGCGUAGCCGACCUGAGAGGGUGAUCGGCCACACUGGAACUGAGACACGGUCCAGACUCCUACGGGAGGCAGCAGUAGGGAAUCUUCCGCAAUGGGCGAAAGCCUGACGGAGCAACGCCGCGUGAGUGAUGAAGGUCUUCGGAUCGUAAAACUCUGUUAUUAGGGAAGAACAAAUGUGUAAGUAACUAUGCACGUCUUGACGGUACCUAAUCAGAAAGCCACGGCUAACUACGUG